UACGUAGGGUGCUAGCGUUGUUCGGAAUCAUUGGGCGUAAAGCGCGUGUAGGUGGCUUGUUAAGUUGGGUGUGAAAUCCCUGGGCUCAACCCAGGAAGUGCAUUCGAAACUAGCUCGCUAGAAGAUGGUAGAGGAAGGUGGAAUUCCAAGUGUAGAGGUGAAAUUCGUAGAUAUUUGGAGGAAUACCGGUGGCGAAGGCGGCCUUCUGGACCAUUCUUGACACUGAGACGCGAAAGCGUGGGUAGCAAACAGG
rnacentral:rRNA from 1 species